CCGCACAAUCGAUAAUUUCACCGAUAUUAACAGCUGUUUGUAACAGAAGAAACGCAUCACUAACAGAAAAACAAAACAGCUGCCGCGCAAUUGAAAAUUGCGCAAAAACAAAAGGAAAUCCAAAACAAACUAUUGACGACGGGCCACAGCUGGACCCCGGCGUACCCACCCUGCCUGAGAUGGCUACAUCGGCGACAUCUCCCUUGCGUUGGUCACUAUGUCAGUAGCUGCUCCUCAUCCGGCGUAGUGCUGUGGAAUUCCCCUCCCUUCCAUGAUGGGCAAACUCACACAACCAUUCUUAUCGUAUAAUAUUAAUGG